GACGAACGCUGGCGGCGUGCUUAACACAUGCAAGUCGAACGGAAAGGCCCUGCUUUUGUGGGGUGCUCGAGUGGCGAACGGGUGAGUAACACGUGAGUAACCUGCCCUUGACUUUGGGAUAACUUCAGGAAACUGGGGCUAAUACCGGAUAGGAGCUCCUGCUGCAUGGUGGGGGUUGGAAAGUUUCGGCGGUUGGGGAUGGACUCGCGGCUUAUCAGCUUGUUGGUGAGGUAGUGGCUUACCAAGGCUUUGACGGGUAGCCGGCCUGAGAGGGUGACCGGCCACAUUGGGACUGAGAUACGCCGCAGACGCCUACGGGAGGCAGCAGUGGGGAAUAUUGCGCAAUGGGCGGGAGCCUGAUGCAGAAACGCCGCGUGCGGGAUGACGGCCUUCGGGUUGUAAACCGCUUUCGCCUGUGACGAAGCGUGAGUGACGGUAAUGGGUAAAGAAGCACCGGCUAACUACGUG
rnacentral:rRNA from 1 species